rnacentral:rRNA from 1 species
AAGUCGAACGAUAAGGGCUUCGGCCCCGAAAGUGGCGUACGGGUGGGUAACACGUAGAUAAUCUGCCCUUGAGUGGUGGAUAACGUCCCGAAAGGGGCGCUAAUACAGCAUAAUACUAUGAGUCUUCGGUCUCAUAGCCAAAGCGGGGGACCUUCGGGCCUCGUGCUUAAGGAUGAGUCUGCGGCCCAUCAGCUAGUUGGUAGUGUAAAGGACUACCAAGGCUAAGACGGGUAGCUGGUCUGAGAGGAUGAACAGCCACACUGGAACUGAGACACGGUCCAGACUCCUACGGGAGGCAGCAGUGGGGAAUCUUGCGCAAUGGGGGAAACCCUGACGCAGCGACGCCGCGUGAGCGAUGAAGGCCUUCGGGUUGUAAAGCUCUGUGGAUGGAGACGAAGAAGUAUAGAUUAACACUCUAUGCGGUGACGGUAUCCAUUUAGCAAGCACCGGCUAACUCUGUGCCAGCAGCCGCGGUAAGACAGAGGGUGCAAACGUUGUUCGGAAUUACUGGGCGUAAAGCGCGUGUAGGCGGCUUUGCAAGUCGGAUGUGAAAUCCCGCGGCUCAACCGUGGAAGUGCACCCGAAACUGCAUCGCUAGAGUAUCGGAGAGGAAAGUGGAAUGCUUGGUGUAGAGGUGAAAUUCGUAGAUAUCAAGCGGAACACCGGUGGCGAANGCGGCUUUCUGGACGAUUACUGACGCUGAGACGCGAAAGCGUGGGUAGCAAACAGG